GAUGAACGCUGGCGGCGUGCCUAAUACAUGCAAGUCGAGCGAACGGACGAGAAGCUUGCUUCUCUGAUGUUAGCGGCGGACGGGUGAGUAACACGUGGAUAACCUACCUAUAAGACUGGGAUAACUUCGGGAAACCGGAGCUAAUACCGGAUAAUAUUUUGAACCGCAUGGUUCAAAAGUGAAAGACGGUCUUGCUGUCACUUAUAGAUGGAUCUGCGCUGCAUUAGCUAGUUGGUAAGGUAACGGCUUACCAAGGCAACGAUGCAUAGCCGACCUGAGAGGGUGAUCGGCCACACUGGAACUGAGACACGGUCCAGACUCCUACGGGAGGCAGCAGUAGGGAAUCUUCCGCAAUGGGCGAAAGCCUGACGGAGCAACGCCGCGUGAGUGAUGAAGGUCUUCGGAUCGUAAAACUCUGUUAUUAGGGAAGAACAUAUAUGUAAGUAACUGUGCACAUCUUGACGGUACCUAAUCAGAAAGCCACGGCUAACUACGUG
rnacentral:rRNA from 1 species